GACGAACGCUGGCGGCGUGCUUAACACAUGCAAGUCGAACGGAAAGGCCCUGCUUUUGUGGGGUGCUCGAGUGGCGAACGGGUGAGUAACACGUGAGUAACCUGCCCUUGACUUUGGGAUAACUUCAGGAAACUGGGGCUAAUACCGGAUAGGAGCUCCUGCUGCAUGGUGGAGGUUGGAAAGUUUCGGCGGUUGGGGAUGGACUCGCGGCUUAUCAGCUUGUUGGUGGGGUAGUGGCUUACCAAGGCUUUGACGGGAAGCCGGCCUGAGAGGGUGACCGGCCACAUUGGGACUGAGAUACGGCCCAGACUCCUACGGGAGGCAGCAGUGGGGAAUAUUGCACAAUGGGCGGAAGCCUGAUGCAGCAACGCCGCGUGCGGGAUGACGGCCUUCGGGUUGUAAACCGCUUUCGCCUGUGACGAAGCGUGAGUGACGGUAAUGGGUAAAGAAGCACCGGCUAACUACGUG
rnacentral:rRNA from 1 species